GAGACAGACUGAAGCUGGAUCAUCAGACUGGAUCUCUGAUCAUCACAAACAUCAACACUGCAGACACUGGACUCUAUAAUUUACAGAUCAGCAGCAGUGGAUUCAGCAUCAUGAGGAGCUUCAGUGUUAGUGUCACUGCUGUUCCAGAUUCAGGUAUGUCUAAAGCUGUUCCAGAUUCAGGUCUGUCUAAAGCUGUUUUAGAUUCAGGUCUGUCUCCAGCUGUUGUAGCAGGAAUAUCUGCAGGUGGUGUUCUGCUGGUGUCUGCAGCUGCUGUGAUUUACUCUCGCCGCAGACGAUGGUAAAUGUUAUAUAUGGCUGAUUUAAGUCAGAAAUAUGAUAUCUAUUGUAGUAAAAAAAAAUGUGUUUACUUGUAGUUUAUUGUUUUCAGCAGGCACUGGCGUCAAGUCAUGUGAUAUAUUAUUAGCUACGGUGAGAUACUAUUUGCAGUGUGUACAAAACUAGUAAUAACUGUAUAUAAUAAUAAAGUAAUAGGUCUCUAUUGUUGAACACUACCUGUGCUGUGAGAUAAUCAAGUUCCAUAAUCAAGCUGAUAUUUGAUUUAUAGAUGAUGAAGAUGACUUGCCCCCUGAUCUGACUGAGAAAGGGGCUCACAAUGACACAAUGUAACAUUAUUUAUUAUCUACAUACUUUCAAUGAAAGUGAGAGUGAAGAAAAUUUUAGAAACUGGAAGAGGAAGAUCAGCUGCAGACAUGAACAAUGAGACAUAUGGUCUGAUUCUGGU
rnacentral:lncRNA from 1 species